UACGGAGGGGGUUAGCGUUGUUCGGAAUUACUGGGCGUAAAGCGCACGUAGGCGGCUUUGUAAGUUAGAGGUGAAAGCCCGGGGCUCAACUCCGGAACUGCCUUUAAGACUGCAUCGCUUGAAUCCAGGAGAGGUGAGUGGAAUUCCGAGUGUAGAGGUGAAAUUCGUAGAUAUUCGGAAGAACACCAGUGGCGAAGGCGGCUGACUGGACAUGUAUUGACGCUGAGGUGCGAAAGCGUGGGGAGCAAACAGG
rnacentral:rRNA from 1 species